UCGGUCCUUCUACAGAAACGUUCAAAACCCAUGUGAUACAUAUGGCAGGGUGGCCUCAUCAAUCUUGGCAUCUGAGCACCUAUGAAAUACACCAGCACCAACUAAUUCUUGGUAGUCUGCUCUGCUGAAUACUGCGGGACUCUAGACACCCUUCAUUCUGCAUUGCUGUGUGGUUACUAGUGGUCUUAGGGGUAACUGAGUUGCACUGUAAUUGAAGGAAAAAUGAUCUGUCGCCAAAGCAGGUGGAGCUCAGUAUUUGGGACAGUUCUCGCAUUGUCCCUUGUAAUCUGGCUUGGAAAUGAAUGGCACCAGAAUGGGGUCUCCUUUCACUAUAAAGAGAGGUGAGUAGAUCCUCAGCUACUAUGGUUCCACCUUUUGUAUCUUCCCACAUUAUUUAUUCAAGGCACUUCUAAACCUUUCCCCUGGGUCAAGGAAAGUAA